CACAAUAAACAGACAAAACUAAAAUAAGAACCAGAAAACCGAGAAGUAUCUCCGUUCCAUGUUUGUCUGUCUGUGCUUUUGGGGUCCGAAGAAAGAAGCGAUUCAAAGUGUCCAGCAGACCAGCUGCUGACAUGUGUAACCCAUAGAGUCCCCUCUCAAGAGUAGGAGUCCCAGUCUAUGGUACACAAGAGGUCUAUUCUAUUCCCAGAGCACACAGUAAGUCUCUGAGCGGGAUUCAGGCUCCAGCCAAAACACCCUUCACCCUCAAACAGAAACACACAGAUCAUUCAUUACAAGCCUUAUGUGUGGGUGUCAGCUUUUGUGGCUUUUGUGCUAGGAUUGUGUGUAUGACAUGUGUGUGUGCGUGCAUGCAUCCAUGCCUGCAUGUGUGCGUGUUUGUGUGAGUUUGUGCACACGCGCAUGACUAAUAUUGCUGUGGUGUUCAUGUAUUACAGAGCAAGAAUAUGCCUGUACGGUUCAGUGAAGAAGAGAGGAUGAGAGAACGGAAGAGUCUGUUGAGAGAUUGUUUUCUUCUAUUGAAUCGUGUAGGUGCUGUUUUUGGCUUUGCAGAGUAAAUCCCAGUCCAGGGUAGUCCUCUCCAGGACGUCCACCAGUUUCUCCAGCUUGGUGUUGGCCGUGAAGAUGAAGUCAUCGUCCACCCACAGCACAUACUUGGUAGUCACCUGGGAAACGGCUAGGUUCCGUCCUGCAAACCAGCCCUAGUUGUUGUGACACAGAGAACAGGAUGUGGGAAAGAGGAAGCAGAAGCGAAAGGACAACUAAGAAAAUCACAGACAGUACUUUUUCACUUAAGGUCAUCUGUCAAGGAUCAUUUAAGCAAACAAUGAUAGUGUUAGACACAUUUUUGACCUGACAGGUACACGUACACUGUAUCCCAUCCCUUACUUGCAAAUAGAGGCAGUAGUGUUUAAAAACAAACCUUUCCAAAUGGCAUGAUGUAAUGUUCGAUGUAGGGGCCAGAGACCAUCUUUGGGUUUUCACUGUCAUCAGCUAUUACUAUGGUGACAGUGGAAUAGUAUUUUCGCACACUGUCGAUGAGAUCUUGGAGCUUGUCAUAGCGCAGGAAGGUUUUGGUUGCUAUGGUAACAAGGGCACUGAUGUUGUAUUCUAGAAGGGGAACAGAGAGAGACAAAACGUUAGGGUAUUGAUCUCAGAUGCAAUUAUUAUUUAUUGUUUUGUAAGUGUUGUGCGGUUGUGACAGAUACAGUCAGCCGUUGUAUUUGUCGACAUACCCCCGUUGGGUCCCGUGUUGUAGAGUUUUGGAGUUACACCAUGACGGACCUUGAUAGUAAACAUGGCUUGGUGACCCUCUGUCUCAACCUGCACUGAAAGACACAGCAAGAGUAUUUCCAACCUCAUUACCACAAAUAUUUUACAGAUGUUAUUUGGCAUAGGACUUUGAUAAUGUACACAACACAGAAAUAAGUAGUACACAGCAGAAGGACAGGUGUGUCUGGCCUCACCUGUGUCUGCUGUACUAGGGUGGAACAGUGUGUUGGUAUAGGUGACAAACUGUAGCUGCCGGUUCAAAUUGGACAGCAGGCUGCUGGUCAGGGUCAUGUGCAUCUCCCCGUCACCUUUGACCUUUACCCCCUCAACCUCUGCUGCCACGUUUAACGUUCCCAGGGUGGAGGUGAAGUUGACCUGAGAAAGAAAAAAAUUAAGAGGGAGACAGAGAACAAAGAAGACAAGGACCAGACAAAUGGAAUAGUAUUGGAAAUAAUAACUCAAACCAAAUGUUAUUGGUCUACUUACUGUGUACAGCUCUCUGGGAUGGUCUUGUACUGCAAGUCCUGAAAACAUAUGACAUCAAUUUACUGGCAUAUUUGAUGAAGGUGUUGGAUGUUUAUCCAAUCCAAAUUCACCACAUCAAUUGUCAGCUGGAGUAAACACUAUUUCUCUGUUGUGCAACAAAACACUAUUCUCUCCUCUAAAACAGCCAUACAGUGCAGUAGGUUAUCAUGGUAGUAAUAGUGGUAAGGGUAUAGAAAGUAGAUGUCAGUGGUUGCAAUAAUAGUACUAACACCGUAGUAAUACUAGUGUUAGAUUGUUAGAACACCUAUUGUCUGUCACGUUAAAAGACAAUGAGUUUUACCUCCAAAUACCCUGAUGAAGAUAGAUUGAGACCAGCACGUUGGUGAAUAAGAUCAGCAUCAAGAUUACCGGUGUGCUGGGGUUUUUCUUCUUUUUAACAUUGUUGUAAUAGGACAGUCUCCCUGAAUUCGUAACUUGAUACAAUUACACUUGUAUUUGUAUGCUUGCCCUAUUUUGCCAGGUUUCCUGAUGAAGGUCGGCUGACUGAAAGCUCAGCCACAAUUAAAGAAAUGUGCAUCUGA